rnacentral:misc_RNA from 1 species
GAUGAAGAACGUAGCGAAAUGCGAUAAGUAAUGUGAAUUGCAGAAUUCAGUGAAUCAUCGAAUCUUUGAACGCACCUUGCGCCCUUUGGCUAUUCUGAAGGGCAUGCCUGUUUGAGUAUCGUGAACACCUCAACUCUCAUGGUCUGCCAUGAUGAGCUUGGACUUUGGAGGUCUUGCUGGCCUACUGUCAGCUCCUCUCAAAUGAAUCAGCUUACCAGUGUUUGGUGGCACCACAGGUGUGAUAACUAUCUACGCUUGUGGUUUUCUGCCAGGUAACCUCCAGUGAUGGAGGUUCGCUGGAGCUCACAAAUGUCUCUCCUCAGCGAGGACAGCUUUUUGAACGUUUGAUCUCAAAUCAGGUAGGACUACCCGCUGAACUUAAGCAUAUCAAUAGCGGAGGA